rnacentral:rRNA from 1 species
AUGCCUGGGAGGUCGACCAUGGAAGCCAUUUUCUUGGUACGACAACUUAUGGAGAGAUAUAGGGAGCAUAAGAAGGACUCGCAUAUGGUGUUCAUUGACUUGGAGAAGGCCUAUGAUAAGAUACCGCGGAAUGUCAUGUGGUGGGCCUUGGAGAAACACAAAGUCCCAGCAAAGUACAUUACCCUCAUCAAGGACAUGUACAAUAAUGUUGUGACAAGUGUUCGAACAAGUGAUGUCGACACUGAUGACUUCCCGAUUAAGAUAGGACUGCAUCAGGGGUCAGCUUUGAGCCCUUAUCUUUUUGCAUUGGUGAUGGAUGAGGUCACAAGGGGUAUACAAGGAGAUAUCCCAUGGUGUAUUCUCAUUGCAGAUGAUGUGGUGCUAGUUGACGAUAGUUGGACGGGGGUAAAUAGGAAGUUAGAGUUAUGGAGACAAACCUUGGAAUCGAAAGGGUUUAGGCUUAGUAGAACUAAAACUGAGUACAUGAUGUGCGGUUUCAGUACUACUAGCUCUGAGGAGGAGGAGGUUAGCCUUGAUGGCCAGGUGGUACCUCGGAAGGACACCUUUCGGUAUUUGGGGUCAAUGUUGCAGGAGGAUGGGGGUAUUGAUGAAGAUGUGAACCAUCGAAUCAAAGCCGGAUGGAUGAAGUGGGGCCAAGCUUCUGGCAUUCUCUGUGACAAGAGAGUGCCACAAAAGCUAAAAGGCAAGUUCUACAGGACGGCGGUUCGACCCGCAAUGUUGUAUGGCACGGAGUGUUGGCCGACUAAAAGGCGACAUGUUCAACAGUUAGGUGUGGCGGAGAUGCGUAUGUUGAGAUGGAUGUGUGGCCACACGAGGAAGGAUCGAGUUCGGAAUGAUGAUAUACGAGAUAGAGUUGGGGUAGCACCAAUUGAGGAGAAGCUUGUCCAACAUCGUUUGAGAUGGUUUGGGCAUAUUCAGCGCAGGCCUCUAGAAGCUCCAGUGCAUAGCGGACGGCUAACGCGUGCGGAGAAUGUCAAGAGAGGGCGGGGUCGGCCGAUUUUGACAUGGGAGGAGUCUGUUAAGAGAGACCUGAAGGAUUGGAGUAUCGACAAAGAGCUAGCUAUGGACAGGGGUGCGUGGAAGCUUGCUAUCCAUGUGCCAGAGCCAUGA